GAAAUCGGGCGAACAAUCGGUUUGGGUUCAGACGAUUUCUAAUCUGUGGAUUGCAGGUUCGAGUCCUGCCGGGUGCGCCA
rnacentral:tRNA from 1 species